AUUGAACGCUGGCGGCAGGCCUAACACAUGCAAGUCGAGCGGAUGAAGGGAGCUUGCUCCUGGAUUCAGCGGCGGACGGGUGAGUAAUGCCUAGGAAUCUGCCUGGUAGUGGGGGAUAACGUCCGGAAACGGGCGCUAAUACCGCAUACGUCCUGAGGGAGAAAGAGGGGGAUCUUCGGACCUCACGCUAUCAGAUGAGCCUAGGUCGGAUUAGCUAGUUGGUGGGGUAAAGGCCUACCAAGGCGACGAUCCGUAACUGGUCUGAGAGGAUGAUCAGUCACACUGGAACUGAGACACGGUCAAGACUCCUACGGGAGGCAGCAGUGGGGAAUAGUGGACAAUGGGCGAAAGCCUGAUCCAGCCAUGCCGCGUGUGUGAAGAAGGUCUUCGGAUUGUAAAGCACUUUAAGUUGGGAGGAAGGGCAGUAAGUUGAUACCUUGCUGUUUUGACGUUACCAACAGAAUAAGCACCGGCUAACUUCGUG
rnacentral:rRNA from 1 species